CGCUUAAAUAAUUGAUUUUUCUUCUCGUUUUUGUCCAUUGUUUAUUUUUAUUUUGUUCUCAAAACAAUUUAAAGCUACAAAAUUUAAAUGCCACAAAGCCCCAUUUGUAAACAAUUAUUUAAAUCUCGCGCUAUUUGGCGGCAAUGUAUGUGUGCUUCCGGUCUUGUACUUAUAUGGACAUAUGAGUCACAGAAUAAAGAAAUGUAAAAAGAUAUGUAGUAUUUGUGUAUGAGUGCGGCAUAUAUUUAUAAGUAAUCACCACAUUUACUUUACGAUUCAGUUUAUUCAGUUGCAGCGAAUUAAAAAACACUUAUUUUUACCAAAGUCUAACUGUUGAUACAGUUACAUGACAGUGAUGUUAGAUUAUUAACUCAGUAAAGCGAAGAAAUGUGAGAAUGAAA